UUGGAUAUUCUUCGGAAAUGUCCUUGUAUUCUGUCGCUAGCAAUUCAAACACGUCUUCCCCAUAAUAUCCAAUAUGCAUGGUCUCGUUCUCAAGUUUCAUAUCAUAAAAUUCUCUUAGUUCAGGCCAACCCAAACACAGAAUUGGAUGUGGAGCAUGUCCUUCAAAGUCAACCAUCUUAUAAUUUCCAUCUGGUCGUUUGAACUUCCAU
rnacentral:lncRNA from 1 species